UACACCCUCCCUGGCGCUAGCACGCGUUCCCCUUUCUCCCUCCUCGCACGCAACCUCCUCGUCUCCAGCGCUCUCGCCUCUGCUCCACCACCCCGCGCCGCCACAUCCCACACGCCGACGUCGGCCUCGCCGCAGAAAACCGCCCGCACCACCGGCGACGGAUCCCUCCUCCCUCGAAGCCGCGAGAAGAGGAGCCCCACCCGGACGACUUCCCCCCGUCCCCCGUGGAUGGUUCUGCUUCCAUUGAGACGCCCAGGCAUGACAGAUCUUGCUCGUCGUCAGCCCAGGGCCGGGUCGGCCGGAGCAGUCGGAGAGGAGUGGCGGAUGUGCGUCCGCUUAGAUGCCGCCGGUCAGAGAAGGCGGGGAUGAGCGGAUUGCAGCGAGGGAGGCGGCUCGGCUCGGACUGUCCAUGGCGCUAGCGCGAUGGCUCGCCUCCUCUUUCGGCAUGGCUAUUGUUUUGGUCCGCGCCGUUUCUGCCUCGACGGACAUUGUCGUAGUAGGUGCAGAUGAGGGACGAGCCGCUAGCGACGGAUCCCGCGAGGCCAACCUCCAGCGCCCCUUCUCCGGCCGGCCUCGAACGACCUUGUCCCGCCGGAGCUAGGUGGGUCGAUGACCCGCUGGAUGGGAGCCGGCAUGUCCAGCUACCACCUCUGGUGCCCCGUCGCGCACCUGCCCGCCGCCAGGGGCCCGAGGGCCAAGUUGCGGGGUUGUGCGGUCGCGCUGCUCAUCCCCCGUCCGCUCGAGGAAGCAUCUCGCCGGGGUUGGGGUCAAUCUCGGGCAGUCCUGAGGAGGAGAGCGGGCGGCCUCCAUCAGUCCUCUCCGGUGAGGCCUUUGACAAGAGGGGCCAAGAUGCUACCAAGUGCCAUUUGCUUCAGUGCAUUUUGUUUGAUGAAUCUGUUCAUGAAGGAAUCUGCGGUCCUAACAAAGAAGAUGGAAAGAGUACUCCUGGAAAGUGAAAAAGAGAAGGAAACAACAAUCUUGCAAAAGAUUAAACAAAGAAUAGUUUGCUCACAAAAUUUUCCAUGAGUGAGAUUGCUUCUCUUCACACAUAUAAUCUGACUCGUGGAAAGUUUUGUGAGCAAGCUGUUAAUAUUUACAUAGUACAUAUAUUAGUUACGUCUUGUGACCAUGAGGUCAUGGGUUCAAGUCCUGGAAACAGCCUCUUACAGAAAUGUAGGGAAAGGCUGCGUACUAUAGACCCAAAGUGGUCGGACCCUUCCCUAGACCCUGCGCAAGCGGGAGCUACAUGCACCAGGUUGCCCUUUUUUUUAACGAUAUAUGUGUGAAGAGAAGCAUUGCCGCUCAUGGAAAGAGUACUUCUGUUAUGCUGCUACAUGUUUACAUGCAUAUAUUAGUUUCUUAGGUCAUGCACAUUUAUUAGAAAAAAUUAUCUCCUUCCGGCUAUUAAGCUUGGAAUAACAUCAAAAGAUAGUUAAAAUGCAAUAGAUUUCCUUAUUAUUCAUGGCACAUUGGGUUCAGAUAAUAUUUGCUUUGUUUUACUCGCUCCAAAUUUAAUUAUCACAAUUCCUUAUUAAGCUAAAUAGCUAAUUAUGUCGAUCUGAUCUGAUCUGAUUCAUUUAUCCAAGUAAAGAGUGCAUGCUCAUGUUUCCACUCAUCAAGGUAAAGAAUAAGUUCCGUAGACACACUGAAAUCAAUUUUAGAGGCUGUAAGUAGGCAGAAGAUCCACUCAUGUUCUGAUCUAUCAUGAUUGUGGUUGAAAGUUGUGUUCAACUGAAAUUAUGCAUCAAAUCCCCUCACACAAUUGUUUUCUGCAUGUUAUGUGUUUGAUGAGAUUCCUCCAAGCCAGCUGUUCAGUGAGCCCCCCUAAUUCAGUUGUUUCGGUUGGUUAGAAAUUGCCUGUGAUUCACUUAUCGAUCAAUUAAUUAGAUUGAUUUUUUAGUAUGUUCAUUCGGCUUAUUCAAAUAAUCACAUUCACAGGUUUAGUUUGGUUUGGUUACCCAUAUAUACUCCGUAUUUCUUUUAGUCCUGUUCGUGUUGAGAAUUUCUGAAAUCAAAUGUACAAUUCGCGUAGUUAAAAGGUAUCAAAGUGAUGUUUGUAUGCAUAGUUCCUGCCUAGCUAGAAAAAUGUGACUGCAAAUUUUGUCAAUCAUUUAUAGUUCCUGCCUGUUUUCCGAACUUUUUCUAGGAGGGAAUAACAGUAGGACAUGCAUGUGUUAUUUUCCAAGACUUGUUCGAGAUAAAGACCCAAUGAGUCAUCGGAUACUUCCCCUGUCUCUGCAGCAGCAAAUGAUUGUUCAGAGUGAGAGUUUGUCUGAAAAUUGUUCAGAAUGAGGCUCUAGCAUGCUGCACACGGUGUAGACCAAAGGAAAACCUACCAUGAAACAACUUAUUUCAUUCCCUCGGAGCAAGAGCAAAUUUAACAAGGCAAUACAACAAAACGUGGAGCAGCUAAUGGACAUCCAAUCAGCUCUCAAGGCAUUCGAGGAGGUACUGCUCUUUGAUUGAACAACAUGAUCACUUUUUUUAUUGAGGGAAGCAUGCUCACAUGGAGGCGCCCAGAAGUUGUGUGUGGGCAUGUAUGACGUUGGCAUAGUCAUAUGCUGAUUUUCUGAGAUAUCAUCGUAUCCUUGACUUUCAACAUCAGUUGUAAAUAAGUCGAGAAGCUGUAUCUAUAGCACCGGUGUUAUUUAUCCCUUGCAUCAAAAUGUAGAAUUUUCUCACUAGAUUUGCACAACAUAGAUAUACUGUAUAUAUUUUCUCAAGUAUUUGCUAUGACCAGAUCUUAAGAAAUGGUGUGCAUAUUAAGGCCUAAAACUUUUAUUUGCAUUUACUUCCUUGGUUACUGCAAUAGAUCACCUGAACUGACAAAAUAGUGGGUUAGCAUGCUUUGAAAAGAACAACACUUGAGCAUAUGUAGCCAUGUAGGUCAACGAAGUUGCUUUCUUGAUACUUUUAGAUACGUGCUACCACAUGCAUGCUGGAUUUGUGCUCUAUCCAGAUUGAGUGCCUGACAUAUUUUGUUUUCCACUUCGAGCUUCUGUUACAAUGAGGAACAAUGGAUAUAUCGAAUAAAAAAUGUAACCAGCUUUCCCCGGGUGAAGAAUCCUCUACUAAUAACGAGCCUCAGGUACAUCCUACUCAGGAUGGCCUAGGAAAAUGUGCACCACUUUUGGCAGAGGUUCUGAACCAAGACAAAAAUGAUGGGCAUUUUAGAAGGGCAUUUCAGGUUCAUUGAAAAAGUUUUUAGUAAACCCUAAUUGGUUUCAGAGGGGACUGGGGGUUCUGUCAUCCCCAUUUCAGGUUUCUGAUGAAAGAGUAAACAUGAUGCAACACUCUAAUGCAUGACUAGCUAGGGUGUGACAACAUACCAGGUCAGUGACUGACAUAUCAUCUAUUUCACCUUUCAUAUGCAUCCUCUUCUUCCUCGUCCCCCUUUUCAGGGCGAUCAGAAGGGCAAGAUCAGCAUUUUUAUAUUUUCCAUUACAGUUGGUCAUAAAUUUUUUACUUUGUUUUGCCAGGAGAGUUGUGCUUCAUGUAGCUAUUACAGCAGGAUAAUUGUAUGCUUGAAGAAGAGGUUAUACCAACCGAGGCCAAGUGCACUGAACUUACCCAUGCCUCGUUUGGGGCUCAAAUGUGGAGACCUCUCCUCUAGGGGACAACAUCACAAUGUAUUUUCAUAGAAUACUUAUGCUUGGCAAGAAAGGCGGUAGCUGACGAAAGGAGGACACCACCAAGAUGAGUGAGACCGCGCCAACAGACUCAGGAUGGAAAGCAGCGAGCAGCGGCGCAUAAUCCACAGAAGCAGCCAGCAUGGGGCUAAGCCCGCCGUUCCUCCGCGUCGAUGAACAAAAGGACCUAAGAUAGCUGAGGUGCGCUCCUGCAAGAGAUGAGGGAGCAACUGGUGGUCCGGAUAGCGAAGAUCAGGUCAACGUCGGCUGCUUUGUUGUGCCAUUGCCACACUUUGGCUGGAAAAUGCUCGGACGGCCAUGGCGCCGGUGCCACUUCUUCAUCUUCUCUGGAGCCACACCAUUUCUGCGGGAUAAGCGAGUUGGAGGAAGAUGGGAGAGAUGAGUCGGUUACUCACUGAUAGAAAAUCAUUUUGGCAGAACCUCCUUUUCACGAGAGAUGAUUGAUUGUUCCUCCGCCUUCACUUUUGUGCCCAAAGCCCCGUGUGUUGCUUGUGAACCACUGUUGUUUAGGUCGUCGGUCAUGUAAACUAUAAGGACAUAUUAAUAUAAUAUGACUCCUAAGCCACUUCCUUUUAA